GGAGGAUUGGCCGAGUGGUUUAAGGCACCGUCUUGGAAAGGCGGCGUAGUGCAAGCUACCGUGAGUUCGAAUCUCAUGUCCUCCGCCA
rnacentral:tRNA from 1 species